GGCCUUUUUUACGAGACAGACUCAUCCUCGAAGGGAAAAAAACCUAACGACCCCCCCAAAAAAAUCACCGAAAAGAAAUUGGAGAAAUCAACACAGGACUCCCGCGGGCCCGUUGAGUCCUGCUUGCAGGGCUAGUUUUAGGAUGAAGAGUAAAUCCCACUUUGGACUUGCACGGCCAUCAGCAGAUGUGUUCUCCUGGCGAGGCGUCCGACGACACGCGCUCCAUCACUGACAACGUCGCCCUCGAGAUCCUUCUUGGACCGGCACGAGCUUUGACGCAAACGCAGCGGGGCAACCGAGUGGAUUCUGUUUCUCAGACAUUAUGAAACAGAUCAGUCAAGCUAAAAAAGGGAAGCCAAGACGGCGAAGAUUACCGCGACGGACAGACAUAUUGUUUGACUUAUUCUACACCGAGCCCGGAUUAAUAUUUUCCCGUACGGACAUCUGCUUUUCAUAGCCGCGCUUUCGCUCAAAUGCCGUCGAUGUCACAGCGACUGCGUUAUCCGCUAUACAUCAACAAGCGCUGGAACUGAGAAAGGAAAAUAAUCAAAUGUUAUUUUCAUUCUGUGACGGAGACUCGAGCCAAUAUUUAUAACACGUUGACUGGUCAAGGCCGAGUGAUUGAGAGCUUUGCUGAAAAAAAUGAAUCAUACGCAAAUUGCCAAUCAAUUUGAAAUGAAUCCGUUGAUAAGUGAAACUAAAAUAAUAUAUAAAAAAUAUAUAUAUAUAUAUAUAUUUUUUUAAAGACGGCCCACAGGGACAGCGGUAACAGAAUGUAAGUUAUAUUCAGUGACACUGUCAUAAAUAAAUACCAAACAAAAUAUUAUAACAGUGUAAUUUUUUUUUUUUAAUAAAACCCGGACCAGCCCAUCUGGCCGGCCGGCCCAUCGGGAAUUGUCCAGAAGCUCCCGAUUAGUCACUCCGGGCCUGGUACCAGUGCACACCCGCAUGGUAUCAUAAAAUCAUGAUGGUCACCUGCAGAUGGACUAAACAACAUUUCUUUUUCCAACAGCUGUGUGCGGGAUGAGUGUGACCAAUCUCCCCCUCCCCCCAUUGGCAGUGUAUCAAAUACUUGUUCUCCCCACUGUAUGUAUGUAAAGUACAUACAGUGGUAUGAAAACGUAAACAAUUUCUAUACAAAAGUUUAUAAUUUCUCACAUAAUUUCUCACAUUUCUGCAUAAAAUCCCCAUCAAAUGUGAUCUGAUCUUAAAAUCACACAGAUGAAAAAACAGUGUCGGCUUUAACUAAAACCACCCAAACAUUUAUAGGUUUUCAUAUUUUAAUGAGGAUAGUAUGCAAACAAUGACAGAAGGGGGAAAAAAAAGUAAGUGAGCUAUCACAUUUAAUAUUUUGUGGUCCCCCUUUGGCAGCAAUAACUUCCACCAGAUGCUUGUCGCUGCAGAUCAGCUUGGCACAUCGAUCAGGACUAAUCUUGACCCAUUCUUCUCUACAAAACUGCUGUAGUUCAGUCAGAUUCCUGGGAUGUCUGGCAUGAAUCGCUGUGUUUAGGUCAUGCCACAGCAUCUCAAUGGGGUUCAAGUCUGGGCUGUGACUUGGCCACUCCAGAACGUGUAUUUUGUUCUUCUGAAACCAUUCUGAAGUAGAUUUACUUCUGUGAUUUGGGAUUAUUGUCAUGUUGCAGCAUCUAUCCUCUUUUUAGCUUCAACUGUCUGACAGACGGCCUCAGGUUUUCCUGCAAAACAUCCUGAUAAACUUUUGAAUUCAUCCUUCCAUGAUUGCAAGUUGUUGUGGCCCUGAGGUGGCAAAACAGCCCCAAAUCAUGAUGCUCCCUUCACAAUGCUUUACGAUGGGGAUGAGGUGUUGAUGUUGGUGAGCUUUUCCAUUUUUCUUCCACACAUGACGUUCUGCGUUACUCCCAAACAAUACAACUUUGGUUCAUCAGUCCACAAAAUAUUUUGCCAAAACUUCUGUGGAGUAUCCAAGCACCUUUUUGCGAACAUUAAACGAGCAACAAUGUUUUUUUUAGACAGCAGUGGCUUCCUCCGUGGAGUCCUCCCAUGAACACCAUUCUUGGCCAUAGUUUUACAUAUAAUUGAUGUGUGCACAGAGAUAUUGGACUGUGCCAGUGAUUGCUGUAAGUUUUUAGCAGACAUUAUAGGGUUCUUUUUUACCUCUCUGAGUAUUCUGCGCUUAACUAUUGGCGUCAUCUUUGGUGGAUGGCCACUCCUUGUGAGAAAAGCAACAGUGCCAAACUCUCUCCAUUUGUAGACAUCCGACUGUGGAUUAAUGAACAUCCAGAAUUUUAGUGAUGGUUUUGUAUCGUUUUCCAGCUUUAUACAAAUCAAUCAUUCUUGAUCGCAGGUCUUCAGACAGCUGUUUUGACCGAGCCAUGAUGCACAUCAGACAAUGCUUCUCAUCGAGACAAUUCUUACCAAGUGUUUUAUGGUGGGUAGGGCAGCUUUAAACCACUAAUCAGUGAUUGGGCACACACCUGACUUAAAUUGUUAGGUAAAAAUUGGUUUCAAUUGCUGUUUAAGUCUCCUUAGGCCAGGCAUGUCCAAAGUCCGGCCCGGGGGCCAAAUGCGGCCCAUGGUCAAAUUUUAUCCAACGUCUGGCCCGCACACAGACUUAAUAAAUUGGUCAGCAUUACUGCUACCAGCAUAUGAAGUAGCUUACACACUAAAUGCUGCUCCUCAUUUACCCACUAAAUGGAAGCAGCACUCUAAGCAACAUUACCCCGUGUUACCCUUUACUCCCAAUUUUCUAAAAUGGCGACAAUCAACAACAACAAAAAAGAAAGUUGACUGUGACGGCCGACGCGUCAAAGAUAGGUGGAAAUUGGAUAAUUUCUUCACUAAAAUACGCAACAACUGUGUCUGCGUCAUUUGCAAAGAGACAGUCGCGUUCAAUGUAGAGCUACAGCUAUCGAAUAUUUUAGUAGUUGAUUAAUCGAUGGACUAGUCAGUUCGAAUAAUCGAGUAAUCGGAUAAGGAACAUGAAAAAUUAAAAUACUUGAGCUGAGCCUCAAACGGUGUAAAAAAAAUGUUCAAAAAUGACGAUCUAUGUCCAACAAAAUAACAAUUGGCUAACCUACAUAGAAAAAGUCUGCUAGCUUAAAUGCUAUAAAAUGCUUAA